rnacentral:rRNA from 1 species
CAGCCGUAAACUAUGCUCGCUAGGUGUCAGGCAUGGCGCGACCGUGUCUGGUGCCGCAGGGAAGCCGUGAAGCGAGCCACCUGGGAAGUACGGCCGCAAGGCUGAAACUUAAAGGAAUUGGCGGGGGAGCACAACAACGGGUGGAGCCUGCGGUUUAAUUGGACUCAACGCCGGACAACUCACCGGGGACGACAGCAAUAUGUAGGCCAGGCUGAAGACCUUGCCUGAAUCGCUGAGAGGAGGUGAUGGCGUAGACGUCU